rnacentral:misc_RNA from 2 species
AUUGAAUAAAAAAUCGAAGUGUUUGCUUUAAGGGCAACGCGUCGGAAUUGGGUCGUCUUAACCUUUUGAGGUUAAGUGACCUAAAAUUUACACGUUUCGGUAUGAUUACGUACUUAUCAUCAAUGUUUGUCGUUUGAAUGCCGAUUUUUUAUUAGGUCGUGAUCAUCGAUUGGUACACGUCCCAUAAUCUUUUUGAU